CCUACGGGGGACAGCAGUCGAGAAUCAUUCACAAUGGGGGAAACCCUGAUGGUGCGACGCCGCGUGGGGGAAUGAAGGUCUUCGGAUUGUAAACCCCUGUCAUGUGGGAGCAAAUUAAAAAGAUAGUACCACAAGAGGAAGAGACGGCUAACUCUGUGCCAGCAGCCGCGGUAAUACAGAGGUCUCAAGCGUUGUUCGGAAUCACUGGGCGUAAAGCGUGCGUAGGCUGUUUCGUAAGUCGUGUGUGAAAGGCGCGGGCUCAACCCGCGGACGGCACAUGAUACUGCGGGACUAGAGUGAGGGAGGGGGAACCGGAAUUCUCGGUGUAGCAGUGAAAUGCGUAGAUAUCGAGAGGAACACUCGUGGCGAAGGCGGGUUCCUGGACAUUAACUGACGCUGAGGCACGAAGGCCAGGGGAGCGAAAGGGAUUAGAUACCCGUGUAGUC
rnacentral:rRNA from 1 species